rnacentral:rRNA from 1 species
UUCAGAGGUCUCGAGCGUUGUUCGGAUUUACUGGGCGUAAAGGGAGCGUAGGCGGCCGGGUGUGUCGAAUGUGAAAGCCCACAACUCAACUGUGGAAUGGCAUUCGAAACUACCUGGCUAGAGUACUGGAGAGGAGAGCGGAAUUCUUGGUGUAGCGGUGAAAUGCGUAGAUAUCAAGAGGAACACCGGUGGCGAAGGCGGCUCUCUGGACAGAUACUGACGCUGAGGCUCUAAAGUUAGGGGAGCAAACAGGAUUAGAUACC